CCCCCAUUUCCCCCCUUGGUCAAUAGCAUCCAUAGAGAAGCUAGGUUUCCUGAUGGUUUUAGUGGGAGAAAGUAUGGCUAGUGAGAGAAAGCUCCAUUAAGGUAAUAUAUGGUGUUUUUUAUCCUCCCUAACUUGAUAUUUGUUAUGGAUUGUUAUGAGAAAGUUUUUGUGUUAAUUUUAGUUAUAUUUUUGUGUGUAUGGAAAACGAGGAAAUCUCAUGAAAUGAGGUUUCAAGCUUAAUUGAGGAUGGAUUCAAGCUUAUGAAGGCAUGAUUUUAUGUUGGCAUACAAAAAGAUUCUUCCAGGUUGCAUUGAAUUACAGUUUUUCAGGUGAUACAUGUACAGCUCUUCUAUACAAGACUUUGAAUUUAGUCCUGUUUGAUGUUUGCGCUGAUAUAUAUAACCUUGUUAAUGAGAUUCGGCAGCUCCUAUGAUACUUGGAAAAACAUUGGUCGUCUGCCUCCCAGGAUACAACAACAAAAAGAUCACGAUAGUAGUACCUCUACAUUGAUCAAUGAACAAACUUUGCCUUCUUCUAUCACCAAAACGUUGGAAAAUUUGGGGAGAAAAAAAAAAGAAUUUUUUGGAGUGAAAUAAAUUCGUUGUAUGUCUCUAAGGAAUUCUACGACAGAGAAGGAUGAGACAUCAACUAUUUUGAUAUCUACUACUACUGUAUAUUUUGAAUAUGUUUAAUUGAUUGAAUCUUCUCUUUUUAUGUAAUUGAUUAUUGUAAUUUCUAGCAAGGAAAUUUGUUAACUUUGUAGUUUGGAAACUUUUUAUGUUUUAAUGUUCAUGUUAAGUUAUACAUUAUUAACGGAAAA